UAAUACGAAGGGUGCAAGCGUUACUCGGAAUUACUGGGCGUAAAGCGUGCGUAGGUGGUUCGUUAAGUCCGAUGUGAAAGCCCUGGGCUCAACCUGGGAAUGGCAUUGGAUACUGGCGGGCUAGAGUGCGGUAGAGGGUAGUGGAAUUCCCGGUGUAGCAGUGAAAUGCGUAGAGAUCGGGAGGAACAUCCGUGGCGAAGGCGACUACCUGGACCAGCACUGACACUGAGGCACGAAAGCGUGGGGAGCAAACAGG
rnacentral:rRNA from 1 species